rnacentral:rRNA from 1 species
UACGAAGGGGGCUAGCGUUGUUCGGAAUUACUGGGCGUAAAGCGCGCGCAGGCGGUUCGAUAAGUUGGGGGUGAAAUCCCCGGGCUCAACCCGGGAAUUGCCUUCAAGACUGUCGAGCUAGAGGACGAGAGAGGUGAGUGGAAUUCCCAGUGUAGAGGUGAAAUUCGUAGAUAUUGGAAGGAACACCGGUGGCGAAGGCGACCAUCUGGGUCAUUACUGACGCUGAGGAGCGAAAGCGUGGGGAGCGAACAGG